ACUGGUUACUUUUGUAAGGGAGCCCAGCCUCCACCAUUGCAGCUCUGAGCAGCCAUGAACCAGGUUAUACUCCAGUCUCCUUUUCUCCCCCGCGUGUGUAAGUCUGUACUGCAGCCCACAUUUUCAACACGCUUCUGUCCUAAGCUUCGCAAGAAAUAUCUUUUUUUUGAAAUUCAAAAAAUUUGCGCACCAUAUCAUCGUCCAGCCAAACCACCAUCGGCGAAUCAGCAAAUAUACAUAUCAGAUCUAAUAUACACCAAUCUGAGCUUUGAUGACUGAGGGAGAUGGAACAAGCAAUUCACGACGUCUAUUUACCUCCGAAGACAUGAUUAGUGGUUAUCAGUCCAAAAAGCGGAGGAAAAGGGGCUACACAAUUAAGAGAUGAAACAGUAUUGAGCAUAGUACGGAGCUUUAAUUUAUGAUGUUCUCCUCAAUCUGUCCAAAUUAUAGCUGAUCGUGGGAAUCAACUUUAGGGGGGAGGUGCUGAGAAAUGACAUGAUUAUAUCAUACGAGCGGCGACAAACUACUGAAGUUGCAAAAGAAAUGAUCUUAAAGAAAGCAGAGAAAGUGGGGGAGUUUUUUCAAGAAAAGAAUUUAAAGAGGAGAUGAGAUGCCAGAGUAUUACGCGCUAUUGCCGAAACAGGAUUAAAAACUAUAUUGGCUCCUGACGCCGGGAACUUCCCCUUCUACAACCAGCCCAACUGUACAUAACAGUUGCUUGCUUAUGAAUUUCAAAUUUAUAUUAUAAUGUUUAUAUGUAAUAUUGAAUCAAAGUUGCUUGCUUGCUUAUGUAAUAUUGAAUAUCUACUGUUGGAUGAUUGUUAACUGCUGUGUUACCAAGUGUUUGAUUAAAUUCCUACAAGUUUUGUUUGAAUUUUGUUCUUUAUUUAUCAUUAGUAUGUUUCAUUUUUAUGUUUGACUCUAUGCUAAUCGCUGAUAAGAUUUCUAUGAUUAUAGGAGAUGAGUGUUCUUAUGGCAUGAAUGAUAUUGGAAAAGUGAAAUGUGUUGAUGCUUUGUGUAAAUAAAUCAUGAUCUGCCGUUAUAGUUUUCUGUUUGUUUUCAAUUUGUGUGUACCUAGGUGGUUGUUACUGAGCAUUGAUCAACUGUGUUAAUUAAUUUAUUAAAAUGGAGUUGAGUCUGAGAACUAAAGGGCAAUUAUAUACUUCUUUAGGCUUUCCUUAACAUGUUUUUAUUCAUUAAAAAAAAUCGAUGAGUUUUUAUAAAUAUAUAUACUCUGUUAUUUUCUCUGUACCUAAUUAAAAGGAUUUUAAUUCGAAUUAUAGGUGUUUGUCAUGUGAAUAUUAUCUAAAAGAUAAUGGGGCCGUUUGGGUUAGCUUAAAAGAAGUGACUUUUUGCUUAUAGUAAAGAAGUGGAGUAGAAGUGAGAAGUAAAUAAGUUAAUAAAGUGUUUGGAAAAGAAGCAGAAGCUGUGAGAGAGAAGCUAGCAUUCUCAGCUUCUUAAAAGUGCUUCAACUUCUUUACACAAACAGGUCAAGAGAAGCAGAAGCCAGAAGCAGCUUCUGCUUCUCUUGGCCAAACAGGCCCAAUAUCUUUAAGGUCUCUUGCAUUGGUCAUUUAAUGUGUUAAUUAAAAGUUUACAUUUAAAUUUUUUGAUCUAAUAAUUUUGGAUAGAUGGUUUGUGAGGUUAAUGAAUGAACUAAUAUGGAAUGAUAAAAUGUAGGAGGUCUGGAAAGAUGGGUUUCAAUGCAGGUUUAUUGCUACUUUCCUUCAGGUCUGCAUUGCUUUGGUCUGUCUUCAGGACUGAGACUGUGAUUGGUUUCGGAACAGACACAAGUAUAUAUAUGGACCAAUGCAAAGCACCUGAUUAUCAUACUUUAGGCUUUUGCUCUGCUUUCUAUGAUAAAAUUUUGACCAGCAACAUUGGGGCACCCAACCCAAAUCUAGCAACAUUGGCCGUGGAGCUUUAAAUAUCUCCGUGUGCAACAAGUGAUGAUAGUAUUUAAACAUGAUUAGCAAACUGCCCAGCAAUCCAUGCAUGGCAAGGGGAAUGCACAGCUUAAUGAUUUCAGUCUCCGUACCAUCCAAGUGCAACAAAAAUCAAUUAUCUUGUGAUGUCUAGGAUUCUACAAAAGUAAGAAGCCUUCAUUCAUCUUCAUUCAUCCCCUGUUACUAGAAAAGCAUUGGUAGCCUAUAAGCAGUGACCAUGUUCCAGACCCGACAUGUCCUUACUUGGCAGAUCAAGUUAUCCAAGAUUUGGGAAGGAGUUUCGCCUUUGAGAUCUCCAACAAGUAAGAAGAAAUAAUGUCAAGGAAUGAACUAAUGUAAAAUGAUAAGAAGAUGAAGGUACACUAAGUGGUUCACUCAAUUUUGGCAUUUUAGUAUCAUUGGCAAGUGGUGUAGGACUCCAUGAUUCUGUGUUGUCCACAAGCAACGGAAAAAAAGCCUGCAGAAAUGUUUCGAAUACUUUGAACGAAAUAAAGGUAACAUCUUUGCUUUUAGGCUCUUUAUAUCGCCGAUACCCACUUUUAGGGGUAUUAUGAUGAGGAACGAGUGUACAGAAGACUUCUCAGGUCUUCCAUAUCUAUAUGCCCUCCUGCACUGCUUGAUUUGUGCCUGGUAUGGCAUGUCGUUUAUGUCAGAUGAUAAUGUGCUUGAUAACUGUAACCUUAUACAGCUACAUUUACUUUAAAUGUCUUGAACACAGUGGUUGCAAAUAAUGGUUAAAUGAUUAAUAUUUACACUGAUCUACUGCUUUUACACUGAUCACUGCUUAUGAUGUUGAAAAACCAAAAUUUGGUGGAGAAAUUGGGAUCAAUGGAGGGAGCUUGCACUGACACACGAAAUCUGUCAAAGCCUAGAUUACAAAGUAAUACUUUACUUGACUGAUCGACGGUUCAACUCAGCAGGAUAUGGAGUAUGCUCGCAGUGUACAUAACAUCCAAUCUCCCAAGGUCUCAUCAUCUACUUUGGAGACAACCUCAAAAUGGGUGUAGUUGCACUUGCACCCAAAAAUGAAGCCAGUGCAAAAAUCAAAGAGAUGACCCAUUUGUUAAAAAUGUUGAGGCUGAAGAGUACAAGGGAACCAAGGUCAGAGAUGUCUCCUCCGCUAAGAGAUGAGGAAAUAUGGCAGUCGUUGGUAUUUGGGAAAUGCAUGUUAGCAAAUACAUGGAUUAUAAAUUGUAUGAGUGACAGGAUGAUAAUAUAGCGUCUCAUAGUCUAAUAUUGCCAAUGACAGGGCUAAUAGCAAUAGCACUUUCAAAAGUAGGUUUGCAGCUGUGAAAUUCACUCAAAGUUGUGAAAUUUGUGAAAUUUGCUUUUGCUCUAACAUGUAAUACCCCGGGUUCCAUUCUUUUGUUUACUUGAAUUUGAAUUGUAUUGUUAUCUUUGUUUUUUUAUUAUAAUUAUCCAAAAAUAGAUGUCCAUC